rnacentral:misc_RNA from 1 species
GAUGAAGAACGCAGCGAAAUGCAAUACUUGGUGUGAAUUGCAGAAUCCCGUGAACCAUCGAGUUUUUGAACGCAAGUUGCGCCCGAAGCCGUUAGGCCGAGGACACGCCUGCCUGGGUGUCACACAUCGUUGCCCCAAUGCCAAUCGCCUCACUUUGUAGGUAUUUGCUUGGGGUGAAUGUUGGCCUCCCGUGAGCUUUGUCUCACGGUUGGUUGAAAAUCGAGUGCAUGGUGUCGGGUGUACCAUGAUGGAUGGUGGUUGAGUGAUGAUGCUCGGUGACCCACAUGCGUCCCUUGGAUGCUCCCUAAGGAGACCUCAGGUCAGGCGGGGCUACCCACUGAGUUUAAGCAUAUCAAUAAGCGGAGGA